rnacentral:rRNA from 1 species
UAACACAUGCAAGUCGAACGAUGAAGCCCUUCGGGGUGGAUUAGUGGCGAACGGGUGAGUAACACGUGGGCAAUCUGCCCUUCACUCUGGGACAAGCCCUGGAAACGGGGUCUAAUACCGGAUAACACUCUGUCCCGCAUGGGACGGGGUUAAAAGCUCCGGCGGUGAAGGAUGAGCCCGCGGCCUAUCAGCUUGUUGGUGGGGUAAUGGCCUACCAAGGCGACGACGGGUAGCCGGCCUGAGAGGGCGACCGGCCACACUGGGACUGAGACACGGCCCAGACUCCUACGGGAGGCAGCAGUGGGGAAUAUUGCACAAUGGGCGAAAGCCUGAUGCAGCGACGCCGCGUGAGGGAUGACGGCCUUCGGGUUGUAAACCUCUUUCAGCAGGGAAGAAGCGAAAGUGACGGUACCUGCAGAAGAAGCGCCGGCUAACUACGUGCCAGCAGCC